GUGAAAAUGGCUUACCUAACUUUGAGAUUCUUGUUGCUGUACUUCAUUCUAAAAGUGACUGCCAUAAAGCUCUGGUCUCCUCCCGGAUGGAUGAUUAAAAUGCCAUGUCAAUAUGAAUAUGAGGCUCAAGGAAGUAUCCAGCAGUUGUCCCUACAGUGGAGAAGCCCCAGGAACCAGCUCCUCUGUCACCUGAUCAAGCACAAAACGUACAGCAACUGCACAGCUGGAUAUUCAGUGCACUACAACCCAGGGAAUAUUACUCUCAUCAUCGCUGAGGUGAGGCAGGAGGACUUUGGGAGGCAUGUGUGUUCUGUGAGCAAGCUUCAUGAAUUCUCAGACUUCAGCAUUGAAUUAUACCAGAAGGAAGGUGAGGAUGGCGCAUUAAAUAAACAUUCACAUUAAUAUCUUUUAAUUGAACCGUGAUGCAGUUAUCUUUCAUAGAUUGAAUGCAUGAACCGUAUUAAGUUUCAUACUAACUCACAUUGUGAAAUCUUGUAAUAUGUUUAGAUCUCUCUGCUGAAUUACCAAAAGGCAAGGUAGAUCAGUCAGGUACAGUAUGUAAUUGUAUUCACUUAAUUGAGAAUUUCAAUUCAAAGAGCAUUAAUGAAAUGUCAUGGGUAGUUUUUGAGAUGAUAUUAGUUUAUUCAUUGAGUACCUAACUCUUACCCACAGGUUCUGCAAAGGAUCAUUUCUUCCUUCUUGGCUGCAGUCUUUUUGUAUCCAUAUUUGGGUAAUAGGACUAGAAUAAUGUUCAUCAUUACAAUAAUGAUCACCAGACUAAUGUUUCAUAUUAGAUGCCAUAUAUUCUGAGAUAGCGAUUACCUGGCAUUUAUACAGUCCAAAAAUAAGAAGUCAAUGUUUUAUUAUUGUUAUUUUUUUCAUAACAGUACCACUGGAUGGCAGUAUACUCAUAAAUAUCACUGAAACACAUUUUUUAAGCUACAAGGCCUAAAGUAGCCUACUUUAUAUAUAAAAUAAAAUAAUAUAUNUACAAAAUGAAUUGCA
ensembl:lncRNA